UCCGAGGCGAGCGUGCGAGAUAGCCGCCUCCGCGCCGGAAGUCGCGCGAGUAAGCUGGAUAUACUCGCCCCGAGUCACCGGGCCUUCGCUUAACCAGCCCGGCAGACAAUUCCUGUUCGUCAGAGAUCUUCAGAGAUCGGAAACAAGAGCUUCAGCGUCUUCGGAACUUCGCAGUGGAAGCCGUUCGAGCCGAUCGAGCCGCGCAACAGGAAGCCGAAGAAAGGGGAUGAAACCGGCAACGACACGAUUUAUCGUCCAUUCGGCGGAUCGUCGCGGGUCGGCGCGCUCGUCAUAAAAUCGGCGAACAGCGGCGCGGCGGUCAGAGAGAAAAAAAAAGGUAUAUGUGUCUUGGAAGUUGCCGAACGACCGAUAGCGAUUUGAUCGUCGCCGCAGCGAGAGGACAGCUGUCGGCGAAACGCCUGGCCAAACCGAGAGAAGACGUAUUACACAUAUCGCUACCGAAGAGACGGGCCUGCGUGGUUGCAUAAGAUAGGCACAUUCGUGAUCUACCCUGUAGAUCCGGGCUUUUGUAGAAUUGUAAAUAUCAGAAGCUCGUCUCUACAGGUAUCUUACGGAUGACAUGCCACGCGACUCUAGAUUGCAAUGCAUGGCGGUCGACGCGAACGUUUGUAAAUCACGCCCUGUGUCGUCCCCCGAGCUUUGUUGAAAAUGUCCUGUUUCACGAUAAACAAACGAUAAAUAGAAACGAAGAACGGGCCGUUCGCCGCUUAAUCGACGUUUAGAGAGUUUCUCCAUGGCAUAGUUGUCGAUAGGUUCACCUGUGAAAUGUACUUAAAACUUAGAACUAGAUUGCGUUGUUUAGGAGCUUCACUAUGUCCCUAGAUCGUACGUAAUUGUUUGUCAUUGUUCAUUCAUCAGUUGUAUUCUAGGACCUGAAAUAAAAUGUCGACCAAAAUACGGAGUCUGCUGAUUACCGCGGCGCUUUGGACUUCGCCGUUUUCUCGUACGAUUGUAGCGCGAAUGCGAGCGAUGUAUACUGUGGUGUUUUGAAAUAUAAAGAAACCUGCAAACGACGAUGUUGUUA